AUUGAACGCUGGCGGCAGGCCUAACACAUGCAAGUCGAGCGCGAAAGUCUUCGGAUGAGUAAAGCGGCGAACGGGUGAGUAAUACAUGGGAAUCUGCCUGGUAGUGGGGGACAACGUUUCGAAAGGAACGCUAAUACCGCAUACGCCCUACGGGGAAGGGGGGGAGUCGCAAGACCUCUCGCUAUCAGAUGAGCCCAUGUCAGAUUAGCUAGUUGGUAGGUAAAGGCCUACCAAGGCGACGAUCUGUAGCUGGUCUGAGAGGAUGAUCAGCCACACUGGAACUGAGACACGGUCCAGACUCCUACGGGAGGCAGCAGUGGGGGAAUAUUGGACAAUGGGGGGCAACCCUGAUCCAGCCAUGCCGCGUGUGUGAAGAAGGCCUUAGGGUUGUAAAGCACUUUCAGUGGGGAGAAAGGUGAUUCACCUAAUACGUGAGUCAAUUGAUGCUACCCACAGAAGAAGCACCGGCUAACUCCGUGCCAGCAGCCGCGGU
rnacentral:rRNA from 1 species